CUUCGUGAAGACGUUUGUCGCGUCCAUGCUUUGCUGCAUUUGUCGUAGUGAGUAAGCGCAAAAGCUGUUUGGCUGGUUCAGUUGGCUUUGUGGGAGAGCAAAAAAGAUACCUGAAUAUAUGUGAAUAUACUAAGCAGAUCUGCGAAUGCCAACAGCAUACCCUCACCUUAAGCUUGCCACGGACCUCUAAGUUAACUUUAAAAUUUUUAUAAGAAAACAAGAAGACUCUAUUCGAGAUUGCUCGGAUGGAGAUAUCCUGAACCCUGCCAGCUGAUAUUCUAG